UACGUAGGGUGCAAGCGUUGUCCGGAAUUAUUGGGCGUAAAGAGCGUGUAGGCGGCUCGAUUAGUCUGCUGUGAAAGUCCAGGGCUCAACCCUGGAAUGCCGGUGGAUACUGUCGAGCUAGAGUCCGGAAGGGGCGAGUGGAAUUCCUGGUGUAGCGGUGAAAUGCGCAGAUAUCAGGAGGAACACCGAUGGCGAAGGCAGCUCGCUGGGACGUGACUGACGCUGAGACGCGAAAGCGUGGGGAGCGAACAGG
rnacentral:rRNA from 1 species